GUCCCUUCGGGGACAUCCGAUAAAAUUGGAACGGUACAGAGAAGAUUAGCAUGACCCCUGCAUAAGGAUGACACUCAUAAAUUGAGAAAUGGUCACAAAUUUA
rnacentral:snRNA from 1 species